ACAGGAUUUAGUUGUAGUUCUAAAUGUUAUACUAAUUGAUACACAAGAAAUCUUGUCAUAUUUGACUACAAACCGUAAACCAAGCUUCUUCUUACUUCUCAAAGCUUUGAUGGUGUAGCCGAAGUCCUUAUGAUAUUUGAUUUUGGAUCUUCUAACAGGGAAA
rnacentral:sRNA from 1 species